rnacentral:sRNA from 1 species
CGAAAGCCUGACGGAGCAAUACCGCGUGAGGGAGGAAGGCUCUAGGGUUGUAAACCUCUUUUCUCAGGGAAGAAAAAAAUGACGGUACCUGAGGAAUAAGCAUCGGCUAACUCCGUGCCAGCAGCCGCGGUAAUACGGAGGAUGCAAGCGUUAUCCGGAUUUAUUGGGCGUAAAGCGUCCGCAGGUGGCAGUUCAAGUCUGCUGUCAAAGGUCGGGGCUCAACCCCGAACAGGCAGUGGAAACUGAACAGCUAGAGUACGGUAGGGGCAGAGGGAAUUCCCAGUGUAGCGGUGAAAUGCGUAGAGAUUGGGAAGAACACCGGUGGCGAAAGCGCUCUGCUAGGCCGAAACUGACACUCAUGGACGAAAGCUAGGGGAGCGAAUGGGAUUAGAUACCCCAGUAGUCCUAGCCGUAAACGAUGGAUACUAGGCGUUGUGAGUAUCGACCCUCACAGUGUCGUAGCUAACGCGUUAAGUAUCCCGCCUGGGGAGUACGCGCGCAAGCGUGAAACUCAAAGGAAUUGACGGGGGCCCGCACAAGCGGUGGAGUAUGUGGUUUAAUUCGAUGCAACGCGAAGAACCUUACCAGGACUUGACAUGUCGCGAAUCUCAGGGAAACUUGAGAGUGCCUUCGGGAGCGCGAACACAGGUGGUGCAUGGCUGUCGUCAGCUCGUGUCGUGAGAUGUUGGGUUAAGUCCCGCAACGAGCGCAACCCUCGUUUUUAGUUGCCAGCAUUAAGUUGGGCACUCUAGAGAGACUGCCGGUGACAAACCGGAGGAAGGUGGGGAUGACGUCAAGUUAGCAUGCCCCUUACGUUCUGGGCUACACACGUACUACAAUGCUACGGACAAAGGGCAGCAAGUUAGCGAUGACAAGCAAAUCCCAUAAACCGUGGCUCAGUUCAGAUUGCAGGCUGCAACUCGCCUGCAUGAAGGUGGAAUCGCUAGUAAUCGCAGGUCAGCACUACUGCGGUGAAUACGUUCCCGGGCCUUGUACACACCGCCCGUCACACCAUGGAAGCUGGCUUAGCCCGAAGUCGUUACCCUAACCUGCAAGGGGGGGGGAUGCCGAAGGCAGGGCUGGUGACUGGGGUGAAGUCGUAACAAGGUAGCCGUACCGAAAGGUGUGGCUGGAUCACCUCCUUUUAAGGGAGACCGAACCAAUCUGGAACCGAAAAAUCCUAAAUAGGUACAGAUCAGGUCAUUCCUACGGUCGAGCGAAGAAAUAAAGUGUGGCUUUCAAACUAUGAGUGGUUUAGGUAAUUGGGGCUAUUAGCUCAGGUGGUUAGAGCGCACCCCUGAUAAGGGUGAGGUCCCUGGUUCGAGUCCAGGAUGGCCCACCUUCAAGAGUAGUUAUGAGUUUUGAGUUCUAAGUUUUGAGUUAAAUUAACUUAAGAAUUUAAAAAUAAAAACUAUCUGAAAGGGGGUAUAGCUCAGUUGGUAGAGCGCUGCCUUUGCAAGGCAGAUGUCAGCGGUUCGAGUCCGCUUACCUCCACCUGAGAAGUUAAGAAAGUGAUAAAAUAAAUUACAGUGAAAUUCAGCACCAUGAUGUGGCAACAGCGCUUCAGGCUGCUGGAAUUUCUUCCAGUGAAUCGAACCUUGAAAACUGCAUAGUAACGCGUGGAAAUUAGGCGGUGGAGAAUGUCAGCUACGACAUUUUAGACCGUUAACUAAAACAUCAAUGUGGUCAAGCUAAUUAGGGCUUACGGUGGAUACCUAGGCACACAGAGGCGAAGAAGGACGUGGCGACCGACGAAACACUCCGGGGAGCUGGAAGCAAGCAUUGAGCCGGAGAUAUCCGAAUGGGGCAACCCCAAGUACAGCCUGUUGAAUACAUAGACAGGCAUGAGCCAACCCAGCGAACUGAAACAUCUUAGUAGCUGGAGGAAGAGAAAGAAAAAUCGAUUCCCUUAGUAGCGGCGAGCGAAGCGGGAAGAGCCUAAACCAGUUGUUUUAACAACUGGGGUUGUGGGACAGCGUUAUGGAAUACCUGAAGCUAGACGAAGCAGUAGGGAUACUGCACCAGAGAAGGUGAAAGUCCUGUAGUCGAAAGUAGAAGGAUACUAGCUGAAUCCCGAGUAGCACGGGGCACGUGGAAUCCCGUGUGAAUCCGCGAGAACCAUCUCGUAAGGCUAAAUACUACUGUGUGACCGAUAGUGAACCAGUACCGCGAGGGAAAGGUGAAAAGAACCCCGGAAGGGGAGUGAAAUAGAACAUGAAACCGUAAGCUAUCAAGCAGUGGAAGGACGAUUCAACGUCUGACCGCGUGCCUGUUGAAGAAUGAGCCGGCGACUUAUAGGCAGUGGCAGGUUAAAGCAUGAUGUGCUGAAGCCAAAGCGAAAGCGAGUCUGAAUAGGGCGCUGAAGUCACUGUUUAUAGACCCGAACCCGGGUGAUCUAACCAUGUCCAGGAUGAAGCUUGGGUAACACCAAGUGGAGGUCCGCACCGACCGAUGUUGAAAAAUCGGCGGAUGAGGUGUGGUUAGGGGUGAAAUGCCAAUCGAACCCGGAGCUAGCUGGUUCUCCCCGAAAUGUGUUUAGGCGCAGCGGUUGAGGUAAUAAUCUGGGGGUAAAGCACUGUUUCGGUGCGGGCUGCGAGAGCGGUACCAAAUCGAGACAAACUCUGAAUACCAGAUGCACACUCAACCAGUGAGACGGUGGGGGAUAAGCUUUAUCGUCAAGAGGGAAACAGCCCAGACCACCAGCUAAGACCCCCAAAUUGUCACUAAGUGAUAAAGGAGGUGGGAGUGCAAAGACAACCAGGAGGUUUGCCUAGAAGCAGCCAUCCUUAAAAGAGUGCGUAAUAGCUCACUGGUCAAGCGCUCCUGCGCCGAAAAUGAACGGGGCUAAGUGACAUGCCGAAGCUGUGGGAUAAGAAAUUAUCGGUAGGGGAGCGUUCCGCCAUAGGGUGAAGCACUAGCGGCAAGCAGGUGUGGACGAAGCGGAAGUGAGAAUGUCGGCUUGAGUAGCGCAAACAUUGGUGAGAAUCCAAUGCCCCGAAACCCUAAGGGUUCCUCCGGCAGGUUCGUCCGCGGAGGGUUAGUCAGGUCCUAAGGUGAGGCCAAACGGCGUAGUCGAUGGACAACGGGUUAACAUUCCCGUACUGAAGCUGAAUUGUGUAGAGGGACGGAGAAGGCAAUUGCCAGCCAGGUAUUGGUUGUCCUGGUUCAACUAGCCGAGGUGAUGAGAGGCGGUGAAAACGUCUUGAGCUAAGGCAGGAGUACGAGUCCCCACGGGGGCGAAGUGGUAUAGUCUAGCUUCCAAGAAAAGCUCUAAACACGUUAAUUCAGUUUCACCUGUACCCGAAACCGACACAGGUAGGGAGGUUGAGAAUACCAAGGGGCGCGAGAUAACUCUCUCUAAGGAACUCGGCAAAAUGGCCCCGUAACUUCGGAAGAAGGGGUGCCCACCGUAAAAAGUGGGUCGCAGUGAAGAGAUCCAGGCGACUGUUUACCAAAAACACAGGUCUCCGCAGAGUCGAAUGACGACGUAUGGGGGCUGACGCCUGCCCAGUGCCGGAAGGUUAAGGAAGUCGGUCAGGACCUUCGGGUCUAAAGCUGGCGACUGAAGCCCCGGUGAACGGCGGCCGUAACUAUAACGGUCCUAAGGUAGCGAAAUUCCUUGUCGGGUAAGUUCCGACCCGCACGAAAGGCGUAACGAUCUGGAUGGUGUCUCAGAGAGAGACUCGGCGAAAUAGGAAUGUCUGUGAAGAUACGGACUACCUGCACCUGGACAGAAAGACCCUAUGAAGCUUUACUGUAGCCUGGAAUUGGCUCCGGGCUUCGCUUGCGCAGGAUAGGUGGGAGGCAUUGAAGGCGCCCUUGUGGGGGUGCUGGAGCCAACGGUGAGAUACCACUCUGGCGAAGCUAGGAUUCUAACCAGUAGCCGUUAGCCGGCACUGGAACCGUUUCAGGUGGGCAGUUUGACUGGGGCGGUCGCCUCCUAAAAGGUAACGGAGGCGCGCAAAGGUUCCCUCAGCACGGUUGGAAAUCGUGCCUUAUGAGUGUAAAGGCAUAAGGGAGCUUGACUGCAAGAGCAACAACUCAAGCAGGGACGAAAGUCGGCCUUAGUGAUCCGACGGCACUGAGUGGAAGGGCCGUCGCUCAACGGAUAAAAGUUACUCUAGGGAUAACAGGCUGAUCUCCUCCAAGAGUUCACAUCGACGAGGAGGUUUGGCACCUCGAUGUCGGCUCAUCGCAACCUGGGG